GGACUACACGGGUAUCUAAUCCCGUUUGCUCCCCUGGCCUUCGUGCCUCAGCGUCAGUUACCGUCCAGAAACUCGCCUUCGCCACUGGUCUUCCUUACGAUCUCUACGCAUUUCACUGCUACACCGUAAAUUCCAGUUUCCUCUCCGGUACUCUAGUCCGCCAGUAUUCAAUGCCAUUCCAGGGUUGAGCCCCGGGAUUUCACAUCAAACUUAGCAGACCGCCUACGCACCCUUUACGCCCAAUGAAUCCGAACAACGCUCGGGACCUCUGUAUUACCGCGGCUGCUGGCAC
rnacentral:rRNA from 1 species